CACCCUCUCCAUUGAGCAUACAUAGGACGUGCCAGUCUAUCCAAAAUAUUGAUCUCUAACUCAAUGCUCCUAUGACUAAGAAUAAUUUUAGAUUAGGAUUUUAGAGUUUCGGAUCUUACAGGCAUGACCACUUCAUGAUUUCAAAAUCAUUGCCUUAAUCUAUGGGGUUCAUCAUUAUCUUUUAAAUAUAGAAAGACACAGCUGUAAAUGAUGAGUCAAAGAAUGCCUU
rnacentral:lncRNA from 1 species